UCUACAUCUGCACUGACUCGAUCGGUCUCGGCCGGAAGCCACCGCUACGUAGCGGUACAUUUCCCUUUGGCGCAGCCUGUGUGUUUGUCGUUUGUGUUCGUCUGCUGCAGUGUUGAACGUAGUGAGAAAAACAUUGUUUUUAUUCCGAAAUUUCGAACGAAAAGUGAUGAAAAAUGUCGAGAACUGUCGGUAUAAGUAGACUGGACGAUAAACUUGCCGUUACCCCCCGGGACUCGUUGAGUAACUCGGAUAAAGACGAGCUUUCCGAAACCACAAAUUCCGUUCACAGUUCGAACGAUGAUGAUAGCCACAACAGGGGUGGAUCGUCGCCGGUUCGAUGGUUCAGCAAUGGAGACGACAGCUCCUUUACAACUUCACCCCGGGUCUCACCGUCCGGAGUGGACGGAGAGGACGCCCAGCAAUGCGACGAGAAGAUUCAGCAGCUUCAACGGCUGCACAUGAGCAAAGGUGUCGGCCUUCUUGAUUUCUUCGCAUCCUGUGAUAUGGACUGGAAACCCGAAACGCAUUACAAACCGGAGCAGUACGUGUAUGGACCGGUGCCUACACACGACAGUCCCGAACCAGAAUCCAGCGAUUUUUACGACGACACAUUGGCUUCCGCUGACACCCAAAUGACUAAACGGAGCACGGUUAUGAUCAGCUCAUUUUCAAAAUCGAUAAACUUUUUGUUGCAACAGGAAGCGAUAGAGAUGGACAUUCCGAAAAGUCCAACCUUUAGUAUUGUGCUGUCGGAUUCGGAGUUUUCGGAGUUUGCAGUAUCCGCCGACGAGUCCGAAAUCGAACUGAGAGAUGCGGUGAACAAUAUUGUGCAAACACUUGAUGUUACGGGUGCGACAGGGGUGGACAGCCUCGCCAACACGGAAUCCGGAGUUGGCGAGUCCGUAAUCUCAUCCUCUAAGUUUUGUAUCGAAGAGGAGAAACACGUUGAUCUGCUGGCGGAUUCUCGUGGUGACACAAGCGGACACCAAAUGGCAUCUGUCGCAGUUGUAAAACAGGAACGUGAUGAUUCAGUAGCGAUACGGAAUCGCACCGAACAAAGCGACGACGAGCGUCAAAGAAACGAUGAUCCAUUGGAGUGCACCAGUGCUGCUUACGGUUGUUCCGGUACUACCCUAGACGAAGCUGUUACAGGUAUCCACGUGGAAUGCGAUAGUGCUUUGAGUGAACAAAGCCAAUUGCAAUCAGACGACAAUCAAGAUCAGAGCCGCGAAGCAUCAGUUACAAUCAUAAUUGGCCCUACAGAAUCCGAAAAGGAGGAACACGUUCAAGCGCAGGACCGAAUCAUAGAUCCUAGCCAAACCACAGCUGGUGUUACGCGGACUCGAGCAGAAAAAGGCGAAGAUCAGCAGCGCAACGAAUCGUUAGAUCGCACCAUAGUACCGAACGACGACCAGAACCGGGUGGAACCGGUGUACCAGGAACAGACGACUGAUUGCAUUCCCAUUUUGCCCAACGACUCGCUCGGAAACGAUCAUCUUCAGUGGAACGAAUCCAGCACUUCAGAUUCGAUUCGGGCACCGAUCAAAACCACCGUUACGGCGGCGACAGCUGUUGCGGACGGGGCGGCUGCGGCACCCAUCGAAUUGGAUCCGAUAACGAAGGAUAGGCGGUACACUCGACGUCCCGAUCGAAAAUCGGCACAAUCGGGACAGCAGGAAGUCCUUUUUAAGGAAGCGACGCCGCCACGGAAGGAAGGUAUCCACGUGGAAUGCGACAGUGCUUUGAGUGAACAAAACCAAUUGCAAUCAGACGACAAUCAAGAUCAGAGCCGCGAAGCAUCAGUAACAAUCAUAAUUGAUCUUACAAAAUCUGAAAAAGUGGAACACGAUCAAUCGCAGGAUCGGGUCAUAGAUCUUAGCCAAGCCACAGUCGGAGCUGAAAAAGGCGAAGAUCAGCAGCGCAACGAAUCGUUGGAUCGCACCAUAGUACCAAACGACGACCAGAACCCGGUGGAACCGGUGAACCAGGAGCAGACGACUGAUUGCCCUCCCAUUUCGCCCAGCGACUCGCUCGGAAACGAUCACCUUCAGUGGAACGAGUCCAGCACUCCAGAUUCGAUUCGGACACCGAUCGAAACCACCGUUACGGCGGCGAAGAAAUCUAAGGCGGCAGCUGUUGCGGACGCGGCGGCGGCACCCAUCACACUGGAUCCGAUAACGAAGGAUAUGCGGUACACUCGAGGUUCUGCUCGAAAAUCGACACAAUCGGUACGACAGAAGAAGGUCCAUUUUAAGGAAGCGACGCCGCCACGGAAGGAAGCUCAACCUUACUAUAGUUCGGUAUACCGAACGAAAUGGGACACCCAGAAGAAGGACCCUUAUGAUUUAGUUCAUAUUGAUGAUGAUGAUGACAGCGAAGACCAACUUUUUUCAAAUAAACAAUCCUGCAAAACCCAAAAUGCUGCUUCUUCUGAGGAAGACGACGAUAAGGACGCUCUCAUAAAAUCCUAUAUUUUAGAAUGCAGCAAGGAUUUCGAACAGUCGUCUGUAUCAUUAGAGGAAAAGGUGAGCAAAAACAAGAAGCGCAACAAAAAACGCAUGCAUCAGCCGUUUAUGCUGGUAGACAAAGAUAUGUUGCAAGACGCCGUUGAGCAAGCUGUCGCCAGGGCGUUGAAGAAACAGGAAUCCGUCCGAGCAGAAAGUAAGAACAGAAGCAGUAGGACAGAAAGUAAGAAAACGCAAACUAGCCUAUGUAUCGAAACGAACGACGUUGCAGUACAAACACCGAAAAAAAUUCCGUUUAAUAGAACCCGAAAGACGUCCAAGACCAAAGCUAAGCCACCACCGAUUGAAGAUCCAAAACAAACAUCCCUCACAAGGUUUAUGUCCAGGGGUUCACCGGAGCGAGAGCCUCCGGCAAAUGUAAUGACCAAGGGAUCAUUCCGCAAACCACCUCCAUCCUUCACCACAACUCCGAGCGUUGAGUUGUCUCCGGUGUCAGUAUCUCCGACUUUGGAUUGCGGCAACGAGGAUGCAUCACAUUGGUCCAUCAAUGUGGCAGAGCAUCCGAGCUUUUUCCGACUACUUGACGAUCUACGUUUAUCUCCGGUGGACAGCAACAACCCGGACGUGGUCGAUGAUGUUGGCUCUAGUCAACACCCCGACGACCCGAUAAGCAUCAUCAGAAGCGGCGAAUACGUUUGUACGAUUCGCAACCUCCACUCGGAAAAUGCCCUACGCAAGACGUUCACCAUUGCGUUCAACGACGAUUCGGAUAUCUUGCCGGAGGAAAAGUCCCUGUCCUACAUCGCGGAAAGCCUCGCCGAAAAGAUCAAAUCGAACACCUUGAAGCCCCUCGAAGAGCUGUAUGAUGCGCCACAAUCCGUCAACACCAGCUUCAUCCAAAGAUUGCUGACCCAAGGCCCAGACUACAAUCUCAACACCCAGGGUGACGAUUAUGAUUCUGAAGAUGACGACGAAGAAAUCGAUUCCGGUAUGGACGAAACCAUCAAACCGGCCGCAUCGUACACCACCAUCCGGUAUCGGCAUUGCAGUAGCGCGAAAGGAUCCCAAGAACCGGUUCGGUAUUCUCCGGGCUAUUCGCCGAUCCGGUUCUCUGGAACGCCGAUCGUAAGAAACACCGACCAGAUGACGUCCCGCUCGCCCGUCAGUUCGCCGGAUCGGACAAAGGUAGUAUCGGAGCGCAGGGCUCUGUAUUUCGGGCAUGAAAUGUGAUUUCAUGCGACUUGGUUAAAUGAUCGUUAUAUUUUUUGCCGUUGAUUAUUUUAUUACUUAAAAUAAGAAUAAUUUUGUACGUGUUGUUGAUUUUUUUGAAUACAUGUUGUUAAUGUUUUAACUUUUAA